rnacentral:other from 1 species
ACGGUUAUAAAUCAACAUAUUGAUUUAUAAGCAUGGAAAUCCCCUGAGUGAAACAACGAAUUGCUGUGUUUAGUCUUUGCCCAUCUCCCACGAUGGGCUUUUUUUUAA